GUCCACGCCGUAAACGAUGGGUACUAGGCGCCGGGGGGAGCGACCCCUUCGGUGCCGUCGCUAACGCAAUAAGUACCCCGCCUGGGGAGUACGGCCGCAAGGCUGAAACUCAAAGGAAUUGACGGGGGCCCGCACAAGCGGUGGAGCAUGUGGUUUAAUUCGAAGCAACGCGAAGAACCUUACCUGGGCUUGACAUGCACGGGAAAGCUGGUGGAAACAUCGGCCCCUCUUCGGAGUCCGUGCACAGGUGCUGCAUGGCUGUCGU
rnacentral:rRNA from 1 species